AUUUAAAUUGAUAUAAAUAUAAUUAUUUUAAAAUUAAUUAACAAAAAAUUUUUAAUUAUUUUAGUAAAUAAAUUAGAAAUAAAUUAUUUUUUCGAUAGAAAAUUGUACUGAGAAGGACAUUAUUUUAUUAUUUUAAAAGUAAAUUUAUUAUUGUACCUUUUGUAUCAGGGUGAAUUUAAUAAGAAAAGUAUUUUUUAUUCCCGAUUACAAAAGAUCUAUAAUUUUAUGUUAAUUAAUGUUUCAUAAUUAUUAAAAAUUUAAUUAUAGUAAUGAAACUUUAAACGCUUUUGUUGGUAUCUGGUUUCUUAAGAGAAAAAUUUAAUUUUAAAUUAAUAUAAUUAAUUAAAAAAUUAAAUUUUUAAUUAUAUUUUAAUAAAAAAUAUUAAGGGAUAAGCUUUAAUUAUAAUUAAUAAUUAUAUAAAAAUUAUAAUUUUUAUAGGCUUAAAAACAGCAGUUUUAUUAAAACGUAAUUGUUAAUAUUAUUCAAUUACUAAUUUAAAUUAAAAUUUUAAUUACUAUUAAGAUUUAAUUAAUAAUUAUUUUUAAAUUCAAUAAUAAUUCAAUUAGUAUAAUUUAAAUUAAUAUAAUUGUAACUCGGCAAAUUUAUUUUCCACCUGUUUAUCAAAAACAUGGUUUUUAGAAUAUAUUUUAAAGAUCUAAUCUGCCCAAUGAAUAAAAAAAUUUUAAUGGCCGCAGUAUACUGACUGUGCAAAGGUAGCAUAAUAAUUAGUCUUUUAAUUGGAGUCUUGAAUGAAUGAUUGGAUGAGAAAAAUACUUUCUUUUAUAUUUAAUUAUAAUUUAAUUUUUAAGUGAAAAAGCUUAAAUUUUUUUGUGGGACGAUAAGACCCUAUAGAACUUGAUUUUUUUUAUUAAAUAUAAAACUUUUAGAAAAAAAUAAGUUUUUUUUAAAAAAAAAAUUUUGUUGGGGAGACAAAUAAAUUUAAAUAACUUUAUUUAAUUAAAUCAUUUAUAAAUGUAUAAAUUGAUCCAACUAAAUGUUGAUUAAAAGAUAAAGUUACCUUAGGGAUAACAGCGUAAUUUAUUUAGAGAGUUCAAAUCGAUAAAUAAGUUUGCGACCUCGAUGUUGGAUUAAGAUUAGUUAAGGGGGUAGAUUUUCUUUAACUGGGUCUGUUCGACCUUUAAUUUCUUACAUGAUCUGAGUUCAAACCGGUGUAAGCCAGGUUGGUUUCUAUCUUCAAAUAUUAUAUUUCUAAAUCAGUACGAAAGGACAAUUUAGAAAGUUUAAUUAACUCUAAAAAGAAUAAAA
rnacentral:rRNA from 1 species